rnacentral:rRNA from 1 species
UACGGAGGGUGCAAGCGUUAUCCGGAUUCACUGGGUUUAAAGGGUGUGUAGGCGGGCUAUUAAGUCCGUGGUGAAAUCUCCGGGCUCAACCCGGAAACUGCCAUUGAUACUAUUAGUCUUGAAUAUCGUUGAGGUUGGCGGAAUAUAUCAUGUAGCGGUGAAAUGCAUAGAUAUGAUAUAGAACACCGAUUGCGAAGGCAGCUAACUAAGCGAUGAGUGACGCUGAGGCACGAAAGCGUGGGGAUCAAACAGG